CUGAUAGAAACUGACAGAUGUGCUAGCUUAUAGCUAUCAUAGCUCUGACUGCAAAUAGGCUAUAUAGAACACAGAGGGGAUGUGCAUCAGAAUGUUGUUAACAGCAUAACAAGCAAGGACUGAUCCAAGCUCAUUGUUCCCUCUUUUCAGUCUGUGAACGAAGAUGAGAAAAAGCUGAAGAGAUGAAAAGGCCAGAGGAUCUCAGAGUAUUUCAAAAGCCUGGAGACCAUCAAAGAUUCAGUUCACAUGUGGCAAAUCCUGCUCAGUGCAGAGCCAUUAAGAUCGCAGUAAAGACAGUAAAUGAUUGUCACACUCUUGCAGAGCAUUACUGCAGGUUAUCAGUGGCAUGACGAACACCUGCAGCAGGUGUAUGUAUCUGUAUUUGAGUGUCUGCCUGUGUACUGAUUUGAAUAUCGAGUGCGUGCCAGUGUAUGUGUGUGAAAGUGACCAGCUGAGUGCGUACGUCCAUGCAGGAUUAUGGAAACACUGGAUUAUUUCCCCCGCACCUCAAAGAAGCUUCUUUAAAUCCUUAAAUGAGCAGUGAAGGAGAGGACAGCAGUGAAGGAGAUGAAAUAAUUUCUUCAGAGUCAUUCAAAGUGUUACAACUAAAGUGACCUUGCGAAUUCACAAUCUGCUGUCAUUUGUAUUGGGUGUUUGGUGUAUUUGUUUCAGUUGAAAGCCUUUUUUUGUUGGAUAAAGUGUCAGAUUU